GUCGGAUAUGGAGACAUGUACCCGCAAAGUGUCAUGGGUAAAGCGGUGGGAUGUCUUUGCGCAAUAGCUGGCGUGCUCGCUGUUGCUCUGCCUGUUCCUGUGAUCGUCUCGAAU
rfam:Hymenolepis nana genome assembly, scaffold: HNAJ_scaffold0001785